CUGGAGUUCAACCUGGUCUGGACAGUCUCUGCCCCUGCCCCGGCCGCCCAUUUUUCCCCAGCUGUCCUGGGUCAAGUUGCUGCAGCUGAACUUUGCUUCCUCUUUGGAUCAGAGCGUUCUUGGCCAGCACCCAGCAGCUGAUUCCCCAGGGGAGAGGCCCCGUUCCCGCCAGCCACAUUCCCACGCCGGCCUGGGAGGCUGCCAGAGAGUGGCUGGGUGUCGGGGGCUGCCUCCCAGGGGACCUGCCUCUCACCCUGCCCAGCUCUGAGGACAGCACGAGAUUCCUGCAGAUGGAGCUCCUAACCUGUCGCCCUGCAGGCACUGUGUGUUUGGACAGCUGGAAGCAGAGCUCGGCCUGUGACCUGCCUGGUCCAGCAACUGGACCUUCUGGAGAGUCACAGUGAGACACACAGCCACAUCCUGUAAAUGAAGACCUCGUGGCUCAGAGAGGUCAGUAAGCCAGAGAAAAGAAAAUGCCAUUCGGAAAAUCCUAAGGAAGAGAGGAUGCAUUUCCUCGUCUCCACGUGGAAGCGGAUCACCCUAAAGGUCUUCAUCCUGGUCUUUUUCAUGCUGAGGAGGCUGGGGAGGAGAAGGAAGAGGAGGGGCUGGUCUUGCUGACCCAGGAGCAGCAGAGAAAGGAGAAAAUCCACGUGCAGGGGCUGGCCAGCGCUGGGCUUCUCGGGAAUGGAAUCACACACGGACUGUGGCGUACACAUCACAACUUUAAACCCCGUCCGUACUGAAGCCUGCGUCCGAAUUUCUUCUGUUUUUGUGGCGGAAGGAUAAAUAUUCCAUUGUACAGACG
rnacentral:lncRNA from 1 species